AGAGUUUGAUCAUGGCUCAGGACGAACGCUGGCGGCGCGCCUAACACAUGCAAGUCGAACGAGCGAGAGAGAGCUUGCUUUCUCGAGCGAGUGGCGAACGGGUGAGUAACGCGUGAGGAACCUGCCUCAAAGAGGGGGACAACAGUUGGAAACGACUGCUAAUACCGCAUAAGCCCACGGCUCGGCAUCGAGCAGAGGGAAAAGGAGCAAUCCGCUUUGAGAUGGCCUCGCGUCCGAUUAGCUAGUUGGUGAGGUAAUGGCCCACCAAGGCGACGAUCGGUAGCCGGACUGAGAGGUUGAACGGCCACAUUGGGACUGAGACACGGCCCAGACUCCUACGGGAGGCAGCAGUGGGGAAUAUUGCACAAUGGGGGAAACCCUGAUGCAGCGACGCCGCGUGGAGGAAGAAGGUCUUCGGAUUGUAAACUCCUGUUGUUGAGGAAGAUAAUGACGGUACUCAACAAGGAAGUGACGGCUAACUACGUGCCAGCAGCCGCGGUAAAACGUAGGUCACAAGCGUUGUCCGGAAUUACUGGGUGUAAAGGGAGCGCAGGCGGGAAGGCAAGUUGGAAGUGAAAUCCAUGGGCUCAACCCAUGAACUGCUUUCAAAACUGUUUUUCUUGAGUAGUGCAGAGGUAGGCGGAAUUCCCGGUGUAGCGGUGGAAUGCGUAGAUAUCGGGAGGAACACCAGUGGCGAAGGCGGCCUACUGGGCACCAACUGACGCUGAGGCUCGAAAGUGUGGGUAGCAAACAGGAUUAGAUACCCUGGUAGUCCACACUGUAAACGAUGAUUACUAGGUGUUGGAGGAUUGACCCCUUCAGCGCCGCAGUUAACACAAUAAGUAAUCCACCUGGGGAGUACGACCGCAAGGUUGAAACUCAAAGGAAUUGACGGGGGCCCGCACAAGCAGUGGAGUAUGUGGUUUAAUUAGAUGCAACGCGAAGAACCUUACCAGUCCUUGACAUCCAACUGACCGACCAGUAACGUGGUCUUCUCUUCGGAGCAGUUGAGACAGGUGGUGCAUGGUUGUCGUCAGCUCGUGUCGUGAGAUGUUGGGUUAAGUCCCGCAACGAGCGCAACCCCUAUUCUUAGUAGCCAGCAGUAAGAUGGGAACUCUAGGGAGACUGCCGGGGAUAACCCGGAGGAAGGUGGGGACGACGUCAAAUCAUCAUGCCCCUUAUGGGCUGGGCUACACACGUGCUACAAUGGUGCUAACAGAGUGAGGCGAGACUGUGAAGUUAAGCAAAUCACAAAAAUGGCAUCUCAGUUCGGAUUGUAGUCUGCAACUCGACUACAUGAAGCUGGAAUCGCUAGUAAUCGCAGAUCAGAAUGCUGCGGUGAAUACGUUCCCGGGUCUUGUACACACCGCCCGUCACACCAUGGGAGUUGGGAAUGCCCGAAGCCGGUGACCUAACCGUAAGGAAGGAGCCGUCGAAGGCAGGCUCGAUAACUGGGGUGAAGUCGUAACAAGGUA
rnacentral:rRNA from 1 species